rnacentral:tRNA from 1 species
GCUGGCGUAGCUCAGUCGGCAGAGCGAGCGAUUCGUAAUCGCUAGGUCGAGGGUUCAAGUCCCUCCGCCAGCUCCA